ensembl:lncRNA
UAUUUUUUUUUUACAAUCAUUUUGGGCUGUUUUUGCUUGUAAACUGUGCUUGAUCUGUGCAUAUUUCCCUCCUGAUUCAGACUAGCUUACUUUUUCACUGAAGAAAGUAAUUUUAUAGAUAAAGGUCUCAUACUUUAGCUGAAAACAGCAGUUUAAAGUUGAAAACACACAAUGGAUUAUUGUGAUGUAUUUAUCAGUUGUUUGAACUCUCAUUCUGAUGGCACCCAUUCACUCCAAAGGAUCCAUUGGUGAGCAAGUGAUAGCUAGAUAUAGAUAUAAGAGUUAUAAACUUCUUGCGUAACAGUAUGUUUCUUGUACAAUAAAUCUUUACAAACAAAAUACAACAUUUCACAAUAGACAGAAUAAAAACAGUAGAAUAAAAAAAAUAAAAUAAACAAUUCCAUUUAUGUGCCAUUUAUUGGUUUAAUGCUACAUUUCUCCAAAUCUGUUCUGAUGAAGAAACAAACUCAUCCACAUCUUGGAUGGCCAGAGGGUGAGUAAAUAUUCAGCAAAUUUUCAUUUUUGACUGAGUUAUUCCUUCAGCAUCCAUUCUAGAAGAAGGUUCUUCAGAUUAUUAAAUAUUUUUCACACUAAUGGGGGAAAAGGCUAUUUUAAGAACUGUUCAAAGAAAUUUUAUUUGAGGAACCCAAAAUUAAAUUGCUACAAAACUCCACUUUUGUAACCUUUAUUUUUAAGAGUGAAUAGACAGAAGAGGUUUUUGCGGUUACUUUAGAUUGGCGAGAUAAUUUAAUCAUCAUUCAUCAUCGUUCAGUGCUCCUGUUUCAGCAUGUUGGUGUUUUAACUCCAGAAAUCCACCAGGCCUCACCUCAAUCAUCGUUUCAAAUUUUAAGCAUUUAUUCUGAUUUUCUAAAGGCAACGUACAUCUUCAGAUACUUCCGAGAUUUGAAACUUUCCCAGCAGUGUGUGCAGGAGCAUUUCUACACAGCCAACAUUUCUACUUUCUCCAUAGGAGGGCAGUUUGACACUUUUUGUAUGGUAGUCUGUGUAGAUCCAAAGACAGUGAUUUGAUUAGUGAUGUGUUUUGUUUUCUGCUUCAGUUUUCACGAGUCAUAAUGGUGUGUUUGUGAGUGUGAUUGUAAUGAGGAAAGAGGUGGCAUGUUUCUGUUUCUUUAUGUAUAUGACUGUAUGACAUAUCACUCUGUUGGAAAAAGAGAGGUUAAACUGUGGCAGUUACUUUUGUAAAUAUAUGACACAUUAUAGUUAUCUUAGCCUAGCUGUUUAAUUUGUGUGUCCAUGCAAGUUUAAUAUUUAAAAAAUAAAUAGAAAAUUGUGUCUCAGUUGUGUUAUAUGAAAAUGUAUUUAAACUAGAUAUCUUAAAUUGUUGUUUUAUCUUGUCAAAAGCUUCUAUGUUCUAUGAAUAAUGGUUUCUCUGGACCAUUUUAUAGAUUUGUCUGCACAAAAUGCAAUAAAGUUCAAGUUAUUUAUUAC